rnacentral:pre_miRNA from 1 species
AGAUAAGCUUAUGGUAGCUGAGAUUCUUUACAGGUGACCUCGAAAUGCGUGCAACUCGGAAUGCGUGAAAAUUCGAUUGUGAGUUGAAUUUUCGGGGUAAAGAAUCGCGUCGAGUAAACUGUUCUCGGCGGUCGAAAUGGAUUAAAUUGGCUCGACGCGAUCCUUUUCCCCCACAAUUCAACUCACAAUCGAAUUUUCACGCAUUCCGAGUUGCACGCAUUUCGAGGUCACCUGUAAAGAAUCUCCAGCUAUCAUAAGCUUAUCU